AGAGUAGGCCAAACGAUCGCUCGCAUCUUCGACAUAGUCAUGGAUGCGGGAGGAAAGUCCGAGCUCCACAGGGCAGGGUGCUCCGUAACGCGGAGUCGCGGUGACGCGAAGGAAAGUGCCACAGAAAACACACCGCCUUAAGGGAUUGGCCUUGUGCCUGUCUCGGAGGGUAAGGGUGAAAAGGUGCGGUAAGAGCGCACCAGUUCCCUGGGUGACCGGGGAAGCUAGGUAAACCCCACCUGGAGCAAGACCGAAUAGGGAAGCACUUGAGGACGGCCCGUCCGAGCUUCCGGGUUGGUCGCAAGAGGUUUUGAGCAAUCAACACCCCAAGAUGAAUGAUCGUUGUUCCGUAAAGGGUGACCGAUACGGAAAACAGAACUCGGCUUACGGCCUACUCUGACA
rnacentral:RNase_P_RNA from 1 species